rnacentral:sRNA from 1 species
GCCAGGCAUGGUGGCUCACACCUGUGAUCCCAGCAUCUCUGGAGGCUGAGGCAGGAGGAUGGCAAGUUCAAAAGCCAGCCUCAGCAACUUAGCAAGACCCUGCCUCAA